rnacentral:rRNA from 1 species
UACGGGGGGAGCAAGCGUUGUUCGGAUUUACUGGGCGUAAAGGGCGCGUAGGCGGUCAGCACAAGUCAGUUGUGAAAUCUCCGGGCUUAACUCGGAAAGGUCAACUGAUACUGUGCGACUAGAGUGCAGAAGGGGCAACUGGAAUUCUCGGUGUAGCGGUGAAAUGCGUAGAUAUCGGGAGGAACACCAAUGGCGAAGGCAGCUCGCUGGGACGGUACUAACGCUGAGGCGCGAAAGCGUGGGGAGCAAACAGG